rnacentral:rRNA from 1 species
AGUGAACGCUGGCGGUAGGCCUAACACAUGCAAGUCGAACGAGUGGCGGACGGGUGAGGAAUACAUCGGAAUCUCCUCUGUCGUGGGGGAUAAAGUUGGGAAAGUUACGCUAAUACCGCAUACGGUUGGAUGAGCCGAUGUCGGAUUAGCUAGUUGGCGGGGUAAAGGCGCACCAGGGCGACGCUCCGGAGCUGGUCUGAGAGGAUGAUAAGCCACACUGGAACAGAGACACGGUCCAGACUCCUACGGGAGGCAGCAGUGGGGAAUAUUGGGCAAUGGGCGCAAGCCUGAUCCAGCCAUACCGCGUGGGUGAAGAAGGCCUUCGGGUUGUAAAGCCCUUUUGUUGGGAAAGCGGUACCAACAGAAUAAGCACCGGCUAACUUCGUGCCAGCAGCCGCGGUAAUUC